rnacentral:misc_RNA from 1 species
UCGCGGCUUAUCACCGGCAGUCCCCUUAGAGUGCCCAACUAAAUGAUGGCAACUAAGGACGAGGGUUGCGCUCGUUGCGGGACUUAACCCAACAUCUCACGACACGAGCUGACGACAGCCAUGCAGCACCUGUGUGCAGGUCCCCGAAGGGAAGGAAUCCAUCUCUGGAAACCGUCCUGCCAUGUCAAGGCCAGGUAAGGUUCUUCGCGUUGCAUCGAAUUAAACCACAUACUCCACCGCUUGUGCGGGCCCCCGUCAAUUCCUUUGAGUUUCAGUCUUGCGACCGUACUCCCCAGGCGGACAACUUCACGCGUUAGCUGCGGUACUGAGAAAUUGCUUCCCCAACACCUAGUUGUCAUCGUUUAGGGCGUGGACUAC